GACCAAUUGAAUUUAAAAUUGAACUUUAAACUUGUCCAUGGUCCAAAAAUCAGCUCAAACAUACCUCCCAUCACCACCACCGUGGGCCACCGCUCCAGAAAUCUCUUUUGGCGGCGGUGGCCACCAAAACUCGAAACCAACACAUCAAAAGCUUCACCAUUUUCUCCCCAUUACGAAUCCCCCACUGUAAACUCCUAAUUCCUCCUCUAAAAUCAGAAUCGAGGUCACAUGCUGAAGAACCCUAAACCUAUGAAUUGAAAUUAAAUCUUCAAGACUUGGAAUCAAAGCCCUAUAAGUUAGGUCUUUGAUUUCCCUAGUCCUCGUCUAUAACAUGAUAACAAUUAUGCAUCAAGCGGCUGCAGAAAUUGAACUAACUUGCCGGAGAAGAGGGCUGAGAUCGGAGCAACACCAGUGUCUGAACAAAAUCCAGGAUCAUGAUCCACAUUUUGGUGAUUAGCUGGUCAUGAAUUGACUAAUGUGGUAUGGGUUGCAGUAUAUGGUGAUUCUGCAGAUGUAGGUGGGCCUUGGUUUCCAACAUGGUCAAUUGGCAACAAAUGAGGUUUGCCUUUUGACUUGGUGUGGUGCGGAAGAGUUCUUAGCUUAGUUCACUGGAAUGUUGUUGCACUGGUCAUCUAGUGCAUGUUAUACAUUAACAACCCCUUCAAUGUUGCUAGCUUAAUCAGGUUGGUUUAUCAAUCACAAUGAGAUUUUGACACUGCAGUAGGUUGAAUUGUUGUGCACUUUUAGGAUUUGAGAGAAAACCAAAUGCUGCCAUGUACCCAGUUCUGUGAGAUGGAGAACUGAUUGCAAUGAUUUUCAAUGGCCUCUAAAAAUGGCUUAGAUCCCUGUUACAAAUCUGCAAGGCUAGAUGACAUGGGAGACAUACUUAGGAUAUCAUAAAGGUCAUGGUUUGCCAAAGGAAACAUGGGCUGCAAUGGGUCACUGGCUGGUGAAGCUGGACAUGAUGGCAAGGUGAAAUAAGGAAACAACCAAAGCACGACUAGGCCAACCAACCAAGUUCAAAACAUAUUGACCAUAAAAUGGAAAAUCAAGUUCAAAUAGUCAUCUCAAGGUCAAAAAUGGGAAUGGAGAAUGAAGUUAGAGAUAGUACUAGUCAUUUAGUGAUUUUAGGAUGAAAAAAAGAUCUAGGUUGACUUUGGUCAAAGUUGAACAAAAAGUCAAUUGUUGACCAAAGUCAAUAAUUGGUCAACAUGUGAUUUUUUUGAUUUUUUUUUUGUAUGUAAUGAACAUUUAUGUGUGAUAAUGAAUAAAAUUGACCAUUUGAAUAAAAAAUGAAUGGAUUAAAUGUA